AACGAACGCUGGCGGCAUGCCUAACACAUGCAAGUCGAACGGGACCUUCGGGUCUAGUGGCGCACGGGUGCGUAACGCGUGGGAACCUGCCCUUAGGUUCGGAAUAACUCCCCGAAAGGGGUGCUAAUACCGGAUAAUGUCUUCGGACCAAAGAUUUAUCGCCUUUGGAUGGGCCCGCGUUGGAUUAGCUAGUUGGUAGGGUAAAAGCCUACCAAGGCGACGAUCCAUAGCUGGUCUGAGAGGAUGAUCAGCCACACUGGGACUGAGACACGGCCCAGACUCCUACGGGAGGCAGCAGUGGGGAAUAUUGGACAAUGGGCGAAAGCCUGAUCCAGCAAUGCCGCGUGAGUGAUGAAGGCCUUAGGGUUGUAAAGCUCUUUUACCCGGGAUGAUAAUGACAGUACCGGGAGAAUAAGCUCCGGCUAACUCCGUG
rnacentral:rRNA from 1 species